AUGAUAACAACUUUCAUUCAUUUUGUGCUCCAUAUUUUCAUCAUGCCCCUUCUGAUGGUCAACCUCGACAAACCACCUUUAACAUGAUUCUACAAGAAAUAUCAUACUCAAAUUCUGAAGUUAUGGAUAAAUAUGGUUGGAGUUUUCUUUUUCCUUGCUGCGUUUGCAUACAUGCUGUCGUUUGAUUACAGCGAAGAAACAGUUUCAAGUUCUGAGUUAGCUAUACUUUUCUGGGUAGCUUGUAAAUUUGUUGACGAAUUAGAACAGGUUAUUGUGGCCAUUAAAAGAAGGAAAAAGAUACCUGACGCAGUAAAAAUGUAUUUGGCAGAUACGUGGAACCAUUUGGAUUGGCUAAUCAUUAUUAGUUGUACGUUAGGUGCCAUCUUGAAAUUGUUUGACGAUGACUUGAUGGAGGGUGCUGCAAAAUUGCUGUACAUAUAGGCUUACGUUACGAUAAAUAUUCGAAUUCUCAAUAUGUUUUGGACAUCUGAAUUUCUCGGAACUCAACUAGUUAUCAUCCAGAAAAU